GUAUCUCUUCGGCCAAUCGGCUUUCUCGGUGCUGUGUGCUACAACUCCUCAUCGAAUCUCUUGUUGAAGUCUACUGACUUUUUUUUCGACCUCAUCAAAUUUCUUUUGAGCCUUUUGAAGUCUCUUUCCCUGAUCAAUGGCCUUUCUUUCGAAAAAUUUAAAUUUUUUCUCUAGGCUCUUAAUACGAGCUUUAAUCUUAACCGCUGUCAUUAGAGAAAGAAGAGUGGCCAGUAAAGGAGUAGCA
rnacentral:lncRNA from 1 species